rnacentral:lncRNA from 1 species
AUACGAGGAGCCAGGCAGCUGUAGUAUUAAAAGGUUUGUGCCUUAAGGAUGACACAUGAAUAAGCUGAAAACAUGGUGGGUUUUGUAAGGAGAGUGGGGAGGGGAAGGAAGGAAUUAAAAAGCCCACGUGUCUACACAGGGUAAAUCAUAAUAAUAGUAAUAAAGCACGCAUAGGAAUCCAGAUGUGCCUUAAAAGCUAGCUGCAGGAGCUUUGGGGCUUUCUGUUCCCCCCGGCCUGGCGGCGUGCGAAGAAAAAGGGUAAAGGACAUGCAGGCUUGAGCGACGGGGCACCUGGGGAUGCUUGUGGGGUGCCCCGAACUGGCCUGCAGUGCAGCAAGCAGGGGUGGCUGCGGGGAGGCCAGCAAGAAGAGGGCUGAGAGACCCACAGCGCUGGACGCCCGUCUGGAGCACUGAGCUGUGGGGCAGCUGCCGCAGCGCUGCCAGCACUGCCCCAGCCUGGCUGGGCUGCCUCCACCGAGCCCUGUCCCCUGCCUUGGCUGGGAGCGGGACAGAGGCCACCACCGCUGCAGGACCGAUGGAUGGCCUGGGACUGGUGCAGCAGCAGCCUGCAGGGAGUGUGCUGGGCUCCCGCCAUCAAAAGGAAGGGCAGGAGUGUCUUGUACUGUAUGUCACGACGUGGCGAAGCACAAAUGAAUAAAUACCUAUCGAUGCGGGUAUUUACUAUGAACUUUUAAGUGUAUUUUGCUUUAUUCCAGGACAUUUAGCUCCUUUCUGAGUCUCUUGUCUGUCCAAGCUGUGCCUCAUGUAAUGUGAAAGCCUUUCUGUGUAUACUAGCUACACUUUAUUUUUAUUGCAUUACUUAGAUCUUUGCCAUCACACGACUUUCUUAUCUGGUGACAGAGACUAUGCCCUUGUGCUGCAAUGUUAUUUUAUUAUUUGUGUGGGAGGGUGAGUGUGUGUGUGUCACCUUCCUGGGCUGGCUGCUGCCACCUGGCCCCAAGGCAGGGUGCCUAGGGGGAUGCAGGCCGUGAGGCUACAAUGGGGCCAGGAGGCUUGUCCCUGGUGCUGCAGCACCUUUGGACUCUGGAGUUUCUCCCAGUGUGAGAGAAAGACAAACAAACCAACAGGCCCCCUUCGAGGGCGCGCUGGCAGCCAUGCAGAGCGAUUCUUCCUGUCAUCGCUGCACAGGAGUUUGUCUGGUUGAAGUAGUUGUGAAGGGAGAGGAGAACAAGAUGGGGAUGUGAAGCUGUUCCUAAGUGUAACAGCAGAAGUGCAGUGCUGGGGGGGUGUGUGUGUGGUGUGUGUAUGGGUAUGUAUACGUGUAUGUAUAUGCACACACAUUGGUGUUUUGUUGUUUUUUUAAUUUUUUGGGGGGGGAAGCUGCAUAUAAAGUGUGUCAGAAGUCCUGGUUACGUUCAUAAAUAAACAGCAUAUAUUCUACC